rnacentral:misc_RNA from 1 species
GAACGCACAUUGCGCCCGCCAGUAUUCUGGCGGGCAUGCCUGUUCGAGCGUCAUUUCAACCCUCAGGCCCCCAGUGCCUGGCGUUGGGGAUCGGCGCGGCGCCCUCCGGGGCGCUGCCGGCCCCGAAAUUCAGUGGCGGUCUCGCUGUAGCCCUCCUCCGCGUAGUAGCACAACCCCGCGGCCUGGAGCUCGGCGGUGGCCAUGCCGUAAAACACCCCACUUCUGAAAGUUGACCUCGGAUCAGGUAGGAAUACCCGCUGAACUUAAG